CGCUUUACGAAAAGGUGAAAAAAGGUGAAAUUGAAUUUACAAGCUAAAUACCAUUUUUCAAUAAUCAACCCAGCAUAAUACUUUGAGUUUAUAUAAAUAGGAAGUAUAAAGUAUAUAAAGGUGCAUAUACUAAUAUCAAUCAAAAGGGUCACAUCCUACCCAGACCAAAUCUGAUAUUAGAUCAACUUGCCCAUAAAUAUAGACCUUUCAAUACUUCAUUCAGUCUAUAGGAAAUAUUGUACAUAUUCUCCAAUACUAAUAUUUUAAAUAUUAUCUUAAAUAAAAUUAAGAUAUAUCAUACAUUCAAUAAAGUAUUAUUACUUUAAAAGUAUUUUGUAAUAAUAUUAUACUUUGGCUAUAUUAUUUGAAAUUAAGAUAUAAUCUUAGUUAAGGAAAAUUAUUACUAUUUUUUUUAACAAAAUAUAAUCCACUAAUACCUGUUUCAGAUGGCUAUGCCUAAUCACUUUAAAAAGCAUACUGCUUACUUUACAUACACAAAUAAACCAUGCCUUGGACCCUGGAUUGUUAAGAACAAUUUAUUUACUAUAUCCAAAGAAUGCACGAAUGCAAUCUGCCUUCAAAAAAAUUAUUUUUCUGUAUGAUGCUAAAGAAUUAUAAAGCUAUUCAAGAUGAUAUUCCUAUUCUCACCCAAGAAGCUGUUGUCAGUUAAAACAAUUAUGCAUUAAUUCCAUUUAUUCAAGAUGAUAUUCCUAUUCACACCCAAGAAGCUGUUGUCAGUAAAAAUAAUUAUGCAUCAAUUCCAUAUCAAUCACAAUUCAAUUUUCAAGAUUUAUUUUUUUUAAAAAAAUCAAUUUAUAAAUUAAUAAAAUCAAAAUAUAAUAAUGACUUUUUAUAUUCUAAUAAGUAUUUGUACAUUAAUGAUAAAUUAAUAUAUUAUAAAUGCCAUACAAAACAUUGUAAAGGGAGGAGGAUUUUA